rnacentral:rRNA from 1 species
UACGUAGGUGACAAGCGUUGUCCGGAUUUACUGGGCGUAAAGAGCGCGCAGGCGGUCGUUCAAGUCGAGUGUGAAAGCCCCCGGCUCAACUGGGGAGGGUCAUUCGAUACUGGGGGACUUGAGUUCGGGAGAGGAGAGCGGAAUUCCCAGUGUAGAGGUGAAAUUCGUAGAUAUUGGGAAGAACACCGGGUGGCGAAGGCGGCUCUCUGGACCGAUACUGACGCUGAGGCGCGAAAGCGUGGGGAGCAAACAGGG